GGAUAAAAUAAUGUAAAAUUGGAGAAAAAUAAAUUUUAAAGUCCUUAGCCAUGCAUGGGUGGUGCAGAGGCAUUGCUUGCUUGUUUUUUUGGUGUGCUUUUUGUUCAGUAGCUGUUCUUUAUGCUGUGUUUUCAAUAUCUCUAUAGAUUCCGUCAGAAGAGCUUCCAUUUGUGUAGCUAUGAGUUUUAUUAUCCUAGCAUCUUGCCAGACUAUUUGCAGGUCAUUGCUAUAUGCUUCCGUUACCAGGGCAGUCGAUAGCUUCCUUUUAGUUAUAUUUUUUUUAUGCUCAUUUAAUCUUUGCUGUAGGGUUCUGGUGAUUACUCCUACAUGUGCCGCUUGUUGUUGGAUGUUGAUGUACUUGACUAGUAUCUUAAAAUACUUUUAAUUUAACUGCUUGAAACACUUGUAAUAUUAUUUUAUAAUAAUAUUGCAAGUGUUUUGAGCAGUUAAAUCGAAAAAAUGGAUCCAAAAUGAAUAUUAUAUGGAAGAUUUAUAUUAAAAUAAGAACUUCGAAAUAUAUUGUGUGUCC
rnacentral:lncRNA from 1 species